UGAAAUUAGGAUUCAAAAUACCCUAAUAGUGGAUACAUAACAUUAGUGUUACGGCCAAGCAUGUUAAUGGUUUUUUUGGCAGCAACAUAGCUUUAAGUUAAAGUACUUAAAUCAUUUAACAUUACAAUAAAGUCUCAAUAGAUAAAUUACUCCUCCAACUUCACAUCUUUCACAACCUUGACAACUUCAACGGUAGUCAUAUUUCGGCCACCUAACAAAAAAAAGACGUUAAAAUGAAUCAGUUUCCAUCAUAAAGAAUAUACAAUCACGAAGAUGCAAUUUAAACAAAAAAAUUAAACAAAUUGAAGAAUGAAAAUAUUAACAUGAACAUGACAUACCGAUAAAUCUCUUCAUCAAUUGAGGCUUCACCUAUUAUCAAACGAAUAUUCUUGAUAACUUUAAGAUCCACACGAGCCACUUUAAGCUCGACUUCUUUUCCAACGUUUGCAAACAUAAGCUCCC
rnacentral:lncRNA from 1 species